rnacentral:rRNA from 1 species
CCUACGGGUGGCAGCAGUGGGGAAUAUUGGGCAAUGGGCGCAAGCCUGACCCAGCAACGCCGCGUGAAGGAAGAAGGCUUUCGGGUUGUAAACUUCUUUUGUCAGGGACGAAGCAAGUGACGGUACCUGACGAAUAAGCCACGGCUAACUACGUGCCAGCAGCCGCGGUAAUACGUAGGUGGCAAGCGUUAUCCGGAUUUACUGGGUGUAAAGGGCGUGUAGGCGGGGAAGCAAGUCAGAUGUGAAAACCACGGGCUCAACCUGUGGCCUGCAUUUGAAACUGUUUUUCUUGAGUGCAGGAGGGGCAGGCGGAAUUCCUGGUGUAGCGGUGAAAUGCGUAGAUAUCAGGAGGAACACCGGUGGCGAAGGCGGCCUGCUGGACUGCAACUGACGUUGAGGCCCGAAAGCGUGGGGAGCAAACAGGAUUAGAUACCCUUGUAGUC